rnacentral:rRNA from 1 species
GAUGAACGCUAGCGGCAGGCUUAAUACAUGCAAGUCGAGGGACAGCACAGGUAGCAAUACUGGGUGGUAACCGGCAAACGGGUGCGGAACACGUACACAACCUUCCUUUAAGUGGGGGAUAGCCCAGAGAAAUUUGGAUUAAUACCCCGUAAUAUAGUUGAAUGGCAUCAUUUGAUUAUUAUAGCUACGGCGCUUAAUGAUGGGUGUGCGGCUGAUUAGAUAGUUGGCGGGAUAACGGCCCACCAAGUCUACGAUCAGUAGCUGAUGUGAGAGAAUGAUCAGCCACACGGGCACUGAGACACGGGCCCGACUCCUACGGGAGGCAGCAGUAAGGAAUAUUGGUCAAUGGACGCAAGUCUGAACCAGCCAUGCCGUGUGAAGGAUUAAGGUCCUCUGGAUUGUAAACUUCUUUUAUUUGGGACGAAAAAGGGCCUUUCUAGGUCAACUGACGGUACCAGAUGAAUAAGCACCGGCUAACUCCGUGCCAGCCGCCGCGGUAAAAC